AUGAAGCUUGCGGAACCUGUCUGAACACUUUAUUCGCACAAAAAACUACAUCCACCAUCUCUGAGUGCUCAUUCUGGGCCAGGCCUUUUAUGUAUACAGCUCAUUUAGUCCUCACAGCAUCCCUUCAUGGUAGACACUUUCAUUAUUUCUGUUGUGUAAAUAAUGACUCAGGAAAAUUGAGUGCCAGGCCCAGGCUCACAGCCAGGCCUGGACUGGGCUUGGCUUACCUGGUGGGAGAUGCAAGGGCUCAGGGUGAUCUCCAGAGCGGGAGAUGCUAUACAGAUGUGGAAAGCUACCAUCAUUUCUCCAGAGGAGGGAAUGCACGGUACAGCCCAUGCUGUCUGACAGUGGGAGGGAGAGGAAAAAAAAGGAAUGAGUCCCAAACCCCUUUUGUUUCUUUCUAUGGCUCCCAGGAGCUUGUUUUUCACCAAGAUUGUAGGAUGUUGGUUUUCAAGGCUACCAUGUAGCUGGGAGGAUGUGAUGAGCGUAGAGCAAAUAAGACCAUUACAAAUCUCACCAUUCUAACCAAAAUUCAGCCUAUGUUCUUGAAUAAAUGCUCCAAGAUUACAGCAAACAUUUGGAUAUUUUCCAGAGUUCUGAAAAAGUUGCUUCUAUUUUUCUGAGUUGCUUUUAUGAAGACAGGAAUUUUAGAAGGUUCCUAGCUUGCCAUUUUUACUGACAUCACUUCCAAAUACACUUCUUUUUUUUUUUGAGAUAGAGUCUCGCUCUGUUGUCCAGGCUGGAGUACAAUGGUGCAGUCUUGGCUCACUGCAACCUCUGCCUCCCAAGUUCAAGCAAUUCUCCUGCUUCAGUCUCCCUAGUAGCUGGGAUUAUAGGUCCACACCACCAUGCCCAGCUAACUUUUGCAUUUUUAGUAGAGAUGGGGUUUUGCCAUGUUGGCCAGGCAGGUCUCGAACUCCUGAACUCAGGUGAUCCUACCGCAUCAGCCUCCCAAAGUGCUGGGAUCACAGUGUGAGCCACUGCGCCUGACCCCAAAUAUACUUUUAAAUACAUUUCUGAACUCACAAAAAUGUAGAGGAAGUACAAAAUGAUUACACACACACAUGCACGCAUGCAUGCAAACAAUCUAGAGGUGAAACUAAAGUCAUCAGUCAACACAGAAGCCAGAGAUGCCCUGGAAGUGUGCCAAAACCAAAAACCUAGAGCUUUGUUAGUUAAUAUUGCGGCUGCCUGAGGUAGUACAUAGGAAUUGGGGCAAUCAAUAGGAAAAUAAAAAUACUUUCUUUUUUAAAAAGCUGGGAAUGAGAUGUCAAUAGGGGACACUGAAAUGCUCUGACACAUUCCUGGGAAUCUAGAAUUUUUCUGGUUAACUGACUAACAGGAUUUGAACCUGACAAAGCAGGAAACUGAAUCUGAGACCUCCACAUAAAUCCAGGCACCAAAAUGGGCUAUAUAUUUAGUGGAAAAGACAAAGCUGGAAGGAUAUGACAAGUGAACCAAUAAGCAAAUCAGUCUCUGCAGGCGGUGGAUUGUAAAACAUUAAUAAUUUUAAUAGUCUUCCCUAAUAUUUCUAACCAGCUUUACUUUUAUGCUGGAAUUUGAAUUUACACCAUACUCAUAGUCCAAGAAAACUCAAACCAAUAAAUCUAACUAGAAUGGUUCCUGAUUGGUCCUGCUUCCAGAGCCAAGCAGAAACCAAGCAAAUCAUCUCAGUUGUGGUCUCUCAGGAAACCCAAAGUUAAAGUUUAGACAAAUAUGAGCGAUUUAUAAAAUUUAACAAAGAGUUGAAGGGUCAAACUACCAUAAGCAGGAGUCAACAGAAACCAUAAAGAGAAGAACAAGACACAGAAAAAUACAAAUAUUAAAAUUAUAACAAACUUUAUACGCAGGAAGUAGGUUUAAAAGCAUGUUUAAAGUGAAAAGAUAGAGAUCAACACGAUGACUAUGGGGAGCAUUAAAAGGGGCCAUUGGUCCACUCUGGAACUUCAAAGUAGGUUUUCUGAAAAAGAUGAUGCUUGAGCUUAAGCUUGAAGGACAGUAAAUAAUUAGCCAGGAGGAAAAGUGGUGAGGGAGUUUCAGAGAAAAAGAUCAUAAUGAACAAAUACAUGGAAGCACUGAAUAGCAGAGGGACUUCAGGGGAAAUUAUAAACAUUUACCUAUUACUACAGUAACAAAGGUAGAGCAGAGAGGAACAGGAGAUGCCUGUCCAUUACAUGAAGAAGUAUAGACAUUAUUUAAUAGGAAAUAGGAGUCAAAAAAGGAUUUUAAGAAGGGAAGGGCUGAUUCCCGGGCCUCCACGGACAUCUCUCCCCAGUCAGUCACCCUGCUUGUGCCAAAGUAGGCACACACUAAAUUCAUUCAUUCACCUGCCCUCAUGGAGGAUUUCAGUCAACAACUGUUCUCUGGUGCCAGCUCUGUGCUAAGUCUGGUGCCUGGCACUGAGGGCACAGAGCUCAACAUGAAGAUCAAGAAGCUUUCAUCUGGUGGGAGUGAUUGUCCUUGAAGCAGGAGUGUAUACUUAUCUCUAGACAUGNNNNNNNNNNNNNNNNNNNNNNNNNNNNNNNNNNNNNNNNNNNNNNNNNNNNNNNNNNNNNNNNNNNNNNNNNNNNNNNNNNNNNNNNNNNNNNNNNNNNNNNNNNNNNNNNNNNNNNNNNNNNNNN
rnacentral:lncRNA from 1 species